rnacentral:rRNA from 1 species
UACGAAGGGGGCUAGCGUUGCUCGGAAUCACUGGGCGUAAAGCGCACGUAGGCGGCUUUUUAAGUCAGGGGUGAAAUCCUGGAGCUCAACUCCAGAACUGCCUUUGAUACUGGGAAGCUUGAGUCCGGAAGAGGUGAGUGGAACUCCGAGUGUAGAGGUGAAAUUCGUAGAUAUUCGGAAGAACACCAGUGGCGAAGGCGGCUCACUGGUCCGGUACUGACGCUGAGACGCGAAAGCGUGGGGAGCGAACAGG